AUUCAAUAAGCGGAGGAAAAGAAACCAACAGGGAUUACCUCAGUAACGGCGAGUGAAGCGGUAACAGCUCAAAUUUGAAAGCUAGCUCUUUUAGGGUUCGCAUUGUAAUUUGUAGAAGAUGCUUCGGGUGUGGCCCCGGUCUAAGUUCCUUGGAACAGGACGUCAUAGAGGGUGAGAAUCCCGUAUGUGACUGGGUGCUUUCGCUCAUGUGAAGCUCUUUCGACGAGUCGAGUUGUUUGGGAAUGCAGCUCAAAAUGGGUGGUAAAUUUCAUCUAAAGCUAAAUAUUGGCCAGAGACCGAUAGCGCACAAGUAGAGUGAUCGAAAGAUGAAAAGCACUUUGGAAAGAGAGUUAAACAGUACGUGAAAUUGUUGAAAGGGAAGCGCUUGCAACCAGACUUGCGCGCUGAUGAUCAUCCGGGCUUCUGCCCGGUGCACUCGUCUGCGCUCAGGCCAGCAUCGGUUUCGGUGGUGGGAUAAAGGCCUUGGGAAUGUAGCUCCUCUCGGGGAGUGUUAUAGCCCUCGGUGCAAUGCCGCCUACCGGGACCGAGGACCGCGCUUCGGCUAGGAUGCUGGCGUAAUGGUUGUAAGCGACCCGUCUUGAAACACGGACCAAGGAGUCUAACAUCUAUGCGAGUGUUUGGGUGUCAAACCCAUACGCGUAAUGAAAGUGAACGGAGGUGAGAACCCUUAAGGGUGCAUCAUCGACCGAUCCUGAUGUCUUCGGAUGGAUUUGAGUAAGAGCAUAGCUGUUGGGACCCGAAAGAUGGUGAACUAUGCGUGAAUAGGGUGAAGCCAGAGGAAACUCUGGUGGAGGCUCGCAGCGGUUCUGACGUGCAAAUCGAUCGUCAAAUUUGCGUAUAGGGGCGAAAGACUAAUCGAACCAUCUAGUAGCUGGUCC
rnacentral:rRNA from 1 species